rnacentral:rRNA from 1 species
CAGCCAUCAUUUAAAGAAAGCGUAAUAGCUCACUGGUCGAGUCGGCCUGCGCGGAAGAUGUAACGGGGCUAAACCAUGCACCGAAGCUGCGGCAGCGACGCUUAUGCGUUGUUGGGUAGGGGAGCGUUCUGUAAGCCUGCGAAGGUGUGCUGUGAGGCAUGCUGGAGGUAUCAGAAGUGCGAAUGCUGACAUAAGUAACGAUAAAGCGGGUGAAAAGCCCGCUCGCCGGAAGACCAAGG